AGAUGUGGGUCAGCGGUAAAGUGCUUGCCUAAAAUGCAAGGGGCCCUGGGUUCAAUCACCAGCACUG
rnacentral:tRNA from 1 species